rnacentral:rRNA from 1 species
UACGGAGGGUGCGAGCGUUGUCCGGAAUCACUGGGCGUAAAGGGCGCGUAGGUGGCGCGGGAAGUCAACGGUGAAAGUUCAGGGCUCAACCCUGAAUCGGCCGUCGAUACUCCCGGGCUUGAGCACUGUAGAGGCAGAUGGAAUUCCGGGUGUAGCGGUGGAAUGCGUAGAGAUCCGGAAGAACACCGGUGGCGAAGGCGGUCUGCUGGGCAGUUGCUGACACUGAUGUGCGACAGCGUGGGGAGCAAACAGG